UACAGAGGUCUCGAGCGUUGUUCGGAUUCAUUGGGCGUAAAGGGUGCGUAGGUGGUCUGGUAAGUCGGAUGUGAAAUCCCGGAGCUUAACUUCGGAACUGCAUUCGAUACUGCCGGACUGGAGUACUGGAGAGGAGAUCGGAAUUUACGGUGUAGCAGUGAAAUGCGUAGAUAUCGUAAGGAAGACCAGUGGCGAAGGCGGAUCUCUGGACAGUUACUGACACUGAGGCACGAAGGCCAGGGGAGCAAACGGG
rnacentral:rRNA from 3 species